rnacentral:rRNA from 1 species
AUUGACAGCUGGCGCCAGGUCUAACACAUGCAAGUCGAGCGGAGCGGCGGAUGGGUGAGUAAUGCCUAGGAAUCUGCUUGGUAGUGGGGGAUAACGUUCGGAAACGGGCGCUAAUAUCGCACACUAUCAGAUGAGCCUAGGUUGGAUCAGCUAGCUGGUGUGCUCAAGGCCUACCAAGGCGACGAUCCGUAACUGGGCUGAGAGGAUGAUCAGUCAGACUGGUCCUGGGACACGGUCGCGACUCCUACGACAGGCAACAUUAGGGAAUAUUGGCCAAUAGGCUGAAGCCUAAUCCAGCCAUCCCGCGUGUGUGACGAAAGUCUUCGGAUUGUAAAGCAGUUUAACUUGGAGGGCGUUACCUACCGAAUUAGCACCAGCUAACUCCGUGCCAGCAGCCGCGGUAAUUC